rnacentral:rRNA from 1 species
ACGGGUGCGGAACACGUACACAACCUUCCUUUAAGUGGGGAAUAGCCCAGGGAAACUUGGAUUAAUACCCCGUAGUAUUAUGAAGUGGCAUCACUUUAUAAUUAUAGCUCCGGCGCUUGAAGAUGGGUGUGCGGCUGAUUAGGUAGUUGGCGGGGUAACGGCCCACCAAGCCUGCGAUCAGUAACUGGUGUGAGAGCACGACCAGUCACACGGGCACUGAGACACGGGCCCGACUCCUACGGGAGGCAGCAGUAAGGAAUAUUGGGCAAUGGACGCAAGUCUGACCCAGCCAUGCCGCGUGGAGGAUGAAGGUCCUCUGGAUUGUAAACUUCUUUUCUCUGGGGCGAAAAAGGGAUAUUCUUAUCCCCCUGACAGUACCAGAGGAAUAAGCACCGGCUAACUCCGUGCCAGCAGCCGCGGUAAUACGGAGGGUGCAAGCGUUAUCCGGAUUCACUGGGUUUAAAGGGUGCGUAGGCGGGCAGGUAAGUCAGUGGUGAAAUCUCCGGGCUUAACCCGGAAACUGCCGUUGAUACUAUCUGCCUUGAAUGUCGUGGAGGUAAGCGGAAUAUGUCAUGUAGCG